rnacentral:tRNA from 1 species
AGUCGCGUGGUCUAAUGGUUAUGAUUUCUCGUUCACACCGAGAAGGUUCCCGGUUCGAUCCCGGGCGCGACUU